rnacentral:rRNA from 1 species
ACGAACGCUGGCGGCGUGCCUAAUACAUGCAAGUAGAACGCUGAAGAGAGGAGCUUGCUCUUCUUGGAUGAGUUGCGAACGGGUGAGUAACGCGUAGGUAACCUGCCUUGUAGCGGGGGAUAACUAUUGGAAACGAUAGCUAAUACCGCAUAACAAUGGAUGACACAUGUCAUUUAUUUGAAAGGGGCAAUUGUUCCACUACAAGAUGGACCUGCGUUGUAUUAGCUAGUAGGUGAGGUAAUGGCUCACCUAGGCGACGAUACAUAGCCGACCUGAGAGGGUGAUCGGCCACACUGGGACUGAGACACGGCCCAGACUCCUACGGGAGGCAGCAGUAGGGAAUCUUCGGCAAUGGGGGCAACCCUGACCGAGCAACGCCGCGUGAGUGAAGAAGGUUUUCGGAUCGUAAAGCUCUGUUGUAAGUCAAGAACGGGUGUGAGAGUGGAAAGUUCACACUGUGACGGUAGCUUACCAGAAAGGGACGGCUAACUACGUGCCAGCAGCCGCGGUAAUACGUAGGUCCCGAGCGUUGUCCGGAUUUAUUGGGCGUAAAGCGAGCGCAGGCGGUUUGAUAAGUCUGAAGUUAAAGGCUGUGGCUCAACCAUAGUUCGCUUUGGAAACUGUCAAACUUGAGUGCAGAAGGGGAGAGUGGAAUUCCAUGUGUAGCGGUGAAAUGCGUAGAUAUAUGGAGGAACACCGGUGGCGAAAGCGGCUCUCUGGUCUGUAACUGACGCUGAGGCUCGAAAGCGUGGGGAGCGAACAGGAUUAGAUACCCUGGUAGUCCACGCCGUAAACGAUGAGUGCUAGGUGUUGGAUCCUUUCCGGGAUUCAGUGCCGCAGCUAACGCAUUAAGCACUCCGCCUGGGGAGUACGACCGCAAGGUUGAAACUCAAAGGAAUUGACGGGGGCCCGCACAAGCGGUGGAGCAUGUGGUUUAAUUCGAAGCAACGCGAAGAACCUUACCAGGUCUUGACAUCCCGAUGCUAUUUCUAGAGAUAGAAAGUUACUUCGGUACAUCGGUGACAGGUAGUGCAUGGUUGUCGUCAGCUCGUGUCGUGAGAUGUUGGGUUAAGUCCCGCAACGAGCGCAACCCCUAUUGUUAGUUGCCAUCAUUCAGUUGGGCACUCUAGCGAGACUGCCGGUAAUAAACCGGAGGAAGGUGGGGAUGACGUCAAAUCAUCAUGCCCCUUAUGACCUGGGCUACACACGUGCUACAAUGGUUGGUACAACGAGUUGCGAGUCGGUGACGGCGAGCUAAUCUCUUAAAGCCAAUCUCAGUUCGGAUUGUAGGCUGCAACUCGCCUACAUGAAGUCGGAAUCGCUAGUAAUCGCGGAUCAGCACGCCGCGGUGAAUACGUUCCCGGGCCUUGUACACACCGCCCGUCACACCACGAGAGUUUGUAACACCCGAAGUCGGUGAGGUAACCUUUUGGAGCCAGCCGCCUAAGGUGGGACAGAUGAUUGGGGUG